CGCUCUUUGUAAAGUGUCUAAUACAUAAGGAGUCCUGCCUGCCCGGUGACUAUUUUAGUUAAACGGCCGCGGUAUCUUGACCGUGCGAAGGUAGCAUAAUCAUUUGCCUUUUAAAUUGGGGCUGGAAUGAAUGGCAAGACGGGAAUCAAGCUGUCUCUCUCUUAUAGUUUGAAAUUAAUGUUUUUGUGAAGAGGCAGAAAUAUAAUCGUAGGACGAGAAGACCCUAUCGAGCUUUUAAUAUAGGAAAAUGUAAUAUAUUUAUUAUUGUUUUAUGCUAAUUAGAAAUUAAUAAUUUCUAAUAUAAUUACUAUAAUUACGAUAAUGUUGUGCAUAUUUUAUUUGGGUUGGGGCAAUCGCGGAGAAUAGUUACCCUCCGCUGUUUUUUUUAGAAAAAAUCUUUUUAUAUUUGAGAUUUUCAAUUGAAGUGAUCCACUAGAAGAAGGUGAUAAAAAGAAUAAGUUACCGUAGGGAUAACAGCGUAAUUUUUUUGGAGAGUUCAUAUUGAUAAAAAAGUUUGCGACCUCGAUGUUGGAUCGGGAUUUCCUGGGGAUGCAGUAGUUCCUAGUGGUUGGUCUGUUCGACCAUUAAAAUCCU
rnacentral:rRNA from 1 species